UAGCUGGUGGGCUUUGGUAGGAAGUUUGGGGUCAGAAAAAGCCUUCCUGUAGGUAUUCUUUUACAGGUAGGCAGCUGGUGGCAGGAAGUGCUGGAGACUCUCUGCAGUGGGCAGAAACAUGGAUGCAUUGUGAGCCUGGGAAAGGGGUAUGAGACAGGCUGAGAACAACCUUUCCUUGAAAACAAAACAACCCUUCUUUGCAAAGGAAAAGGUUAAUUUUACUUCCAGUCCUGAUGUUAAACACAGAACUGAGGACCUUUUGCACAAAUGGACACAAUGUGGAGGAGAGAGAGGACAGAAAAGGGUAUUCAUCAAGGUUUGAACCCAGGAUAUUCUGCUCCAUAAUACAACUCUCAGCUGCUCCUGUACCUCAAGCAAUCAGGUGUACGUUAUCCUCUGUGGACCAGCCCCUAAAGGAGAGAGAGCAGAAGGUUUUGCCAUCCUCUACAGAGCUGGUCUAAAUGUUUGGAAAUUUGGAGGGGGAAGAAAGAACUUGACCAGCCCUAGGAGACACUCUGAUACCACCUCAAUUCAAAUAAGCCACCAACAGCCACUGCAUGGUAACACCUGAUCACUUACUACCACAACAAAGUCAAGCAGAUGAUUUAGGUCCCAAUCCUGCAAAAAGUUAUUGUAGUGUUUACAACUCUCAUGACUUUAUCAUGAGUCUGUCUGUCUAUCAUCAUCAAAAAAAAAAAUCAAAGCCUCGACUUUAGGGUCAAGGGAUUGUGAGAAUCUGUUUUCAUUUUUUUAAAGGACAUUUCUAAAUUUCAAUAGAUGUGGGGAGAAAUUUCAGCAUUAUCCAAGUGUACCCCUAAAGGCUCAAAAGCUAGCAGGUGAAUUAAGAACCUUCAUAUAUAUUUUAAACUAUUCUUAUUUUUAAGCCAGUCACAUGAUUUCUUGAGGCCUAACUCAUUAUUUUGGAAUGUUUGGGUUGGAAAUACUGUGCUUAAGUUUACAACUGUGAGAAGUUCUUAGGCACUAACAUGUGCCUGAGACUUUGCAGCAUUGGCCUUAGAGAUGAAAGGCUUUGUCCUUAU